GGCCUGUAGCUUAGUGGUAGAGCACCUUGAAGGUCCCAGGUUCAAUCCCUAGCAUCUCCA
rnacentral:tRNA from 1 species